rnacentral:rRNA from 1 species
UACGGAGGGUGCAAGCGUUAUCCGGAUUUACUGGGUUUAAAGGGUGUGUAGGCGGGCUUUUAAGUCAGUGGUGAAAUCUCCGGGCUCAACCUGGAAACUGCCAUUGAUACUAUUAGUCUUGAAUAUUGUUGAGGUAGGCGGAAUAAGUCAUGUAGCGGUGAAAUGCAUAGAUAUGACUUAGAACACCAAUUUGCGAAGGCAGCUUGCUAAACAAUGAUUGACGCUGAGGCACGAAAGCGUGGGGAUCAAACAGGAUUAGAA